GCAGAGCGGAGUAACUGAGUGAGUGGGGUGUUUGCCUUGGCUGAGGGUGUUGCAUGUGUGUGGAGAGGGAGAGGGUAGCUGGGUGUAUUUAUAGCUGGGUGUAUGUGGUGUAGCUCAGUGAAGUUCACUAUUGGUGAGAAUAGUGACGAAAGAAUCGUCUGACUUAAUAUGAACAGGAGAGUUAUAGGCAGAAUAUGGGACGAGAGUAUUUUGGGAUUUUUCUGGAACAUGAAUCAUGCUUAAGGGAUGGCAUGGUUGGAUAGGGAAUAGUUUGAUAAGAAUUUAGAAACGAGAAUUAUUGGAAUCUGAGUUUGGAAGCCUGGUUCGAAGGAAUCUCAAGUUAAGCGUGCUCAACUUGGAGAAACCUAGGAUGGGUGACCAGAUUGGAAGUUCCCUACUGGAAUGAAAAUCACAGUCAUCGGAGUUCGUAUGACUGGAAUAUGGGUCUGGCUGGUCUUAGGUGGACUGGACAACAUGAUGGAUGAGUAGUUGAAAUUUGGGGUAAUCGGAUGAUCGAUGAAUAGUAACGGUGAAUAGUAACGGUAAAAAGUAACGGUAAAAAGUAACGGUAAAAAGUAACGGUAAACGGUAAAAAGUAACGGUAAAUAGUAACGGUAAAAAGUAACGGUAAAAAGUAACGGUAAAUAGUAACGGUAAAAAGUAAUGGUAAACGGUAAAAAGUAACGGUAAAAAGUAACGGUAAACGGUAAAAAGUAACGGUAAAAAGUAACGGUAAAUAGUAACGGUAAAAAGUAACGGUAAAUAGUAACGGUAAAAAGUAACGGUAAACGGUAAAAAGUAACGGUAAAAAGUAAUGGUAAACGGUAAAAAGUAACGGUAAAUAGUGACGGUAAAUAGUGAUGGUGAAUAGUUCGUAUGAACGAACGAUGAACGGUGAAUAGGAACUAUGAACGAAUGAUGAACGAUCGAAUGAUCGAACGACGAACGAUCGGAAUUUUGGCAGCAUAACGGCAGGAAAAGGAUUAUCUGGAAGAUCGAUGAAUAGGGACUAUGAACGAACGAUGAACGAUGAAUAGGAACUAUGAACGAACGAUGAACGAUCGAACGAACGAUCGGAGUUUCGGCAGCAUAACGGUAGGAAAAAGAUUAUUUGGACGAACGAACGGACGAACGAUCGAACGAUCGGACGAACGGACGAACGAACCAUGAACGAUCGGACGAACGAUCGAACGAUCGGAUGAACGAACAAACAAACUAAGAACAGGGGGACGAACGAUCGAAGAACGACCGAACGAUCCUUGUGCUAGUGUGUGCUUGUGUGGGAGGUGGAGUGGGAGUG
rnacentral:lncRNA from 1 species